UCUCGGCUUACGCCGGCAGUCUCCUUAGAGUUCCUCCAUCUUGCGACGGGUUGGCAACUAAGGACAGGGGUUGCGCUCGUUGCGGGACUUAACCCAACACCUCACGACACGAGCUGACGACAGCCAUGCACCACCUGUCACCGGCCCCGAAGGACCCCACAUCUCUGCGAGUUUUCCGGCGAUGUCAAACCCAGGUAAGGUUCUUCGCGUUGCAUCGAAUUAAACCACAUGCUCCACCGCUUGUGCGGGCCCCCGUCAAUUCCUUUGAGUCUCAGCCUUGCGGCCGUACUCCCCAGGCGGGGCACUUACUGCGUUAGCGACGGCACUCAGAGGGUCGCUCCCCCAAGCACCUAGUGCCCAUCGUUUACGGCGUGGACUAC
rnacentral:misc_RNA from 1 species